AUGCCCAGUGAUUAUAAAAAGACGCGUUAUUCUGAGGAACACAACCAGCUGCCAGUCGUUCUUAUUCCUCUGACUCUGUCUUUGAUCUCACUCUUUUCUCUCAUUCCUCCUCCUCCUCUCUUCUUCAAAACUGGUAGCUGGUCCGCUGACUGCGAUUAUGAGAUAUGAGGGCAU